GAUGAACGCUGGUUGCGUGCCUAAUACAUGCAAGUCGAGCGAACGGACGAGAAGCUUGCUUCUCUGAUGUUAGCGGCGGACGGGUGAGUAACACGUGGAUAACCUACCUAUAAGACUGGGAUAACUUCGGGAAACCGGAGCCAAUACCGGAUAAUAUUUUGAACCGCAUGGUUCAAAAGUGAAAGACGGUCUUGCUGUCACUUAUAGAUGGAUCCGCGCUGCAUUAGCUAGUUGGUAAGGUAACGGCUUACCAAGGCAACGAUGCAUAGCCGACCUGAGAGGGUGAUCGGCCACACUGGAACUGAGACACGGUCCAGACUCCUACGGGAGGCAGCAGUAGGGAAUCUUCCGCAAUGGGCGAAAGCCUGACGGAGCAACGCCGCGUGAGUGAUGAAGGUCUUCGGAUCGUAAAACUCUGUUAUUAGGGAAGAACAUAUGUGUAAGUAACUGUGCACAUCUUGACGGUACCUAAUCAGAAAGCCACGGCUAACUACGUGCCAGCAGCCGCGGUAAUACGUAGGUGGCAAGCGUUAUCCGGAAUUAUUGGGCGUAAAGCGCGCGUAGGCGGUUUUUUAAGUCUGAUGUGAAAGCCCACGGCUCAACCGUGGAGGGUCAUUGGAAACUGGAAAACUUGAGUGCAGAAGAGGAAAGUGGAAUUCCAUGUGUAGCGGUGAAAUGCGCAGAGAUAUGGAGGAACACCAGUGGCGAAGGCGACUUUCUGGUCUGUAACUGACGCUGAUGUGCGAAAGCGUGGGGAUCAAACAGGAUUAGAUACCCUGGUAGUCCACGCCGUAAACGAUGAGUGCUAAGUGUUAGGGGGUUUCCGCCCCUUAGUGCUGCAGCUAACGCAUUAAGCACUCCGCCUGGGGAGUACGACCGCAAGGUUGAAACUCAAAGGAAUUGACGGGGACCCGCACAAGCGGUGGAGCAUGUGGUUUAAUUCGAAGCAACGCGAAGAACCUUACCAAAUCUUGACAUCCUUUGACAACUCUAGAGAUAGAGCCUUCCCCUUCGGGGGACAAAGUGACAGGUGGUGCAUGGUUGUCGUCAGCUCGUGUCGUGAGAUGUUGGGUUAAGUCCCGCAACGAGCGCAACCCUUAAGCUUAGUUGCCAUCAUUAAGUUGGGCACUCUAAGUUGACUGCCGGUGACAAACCGGAGGAAGGUGGGGAUGACGUCAAAUCAUCAUGCCCCUUAUGAUUUGGGCUACACACGUGCUACAAUGGACAAUACAAAGGGCAGCGAAACCGCGAGGUCAAGCAAAUCCCAUAAAGUUGUUCUCAGUUCGGAUUGUAGUCUGCAACUCGACUACAUGAAGCUGGAAUCGCUAGUAAUCGUAGAUCAGCAUGCUACGGUGAAUACGUUCCCGGGUCU
rnacentral:rRNA from 1 species